rnacentral:lncRNA from 1 species
CCAUUUUGUGUACGUGUUGAUGCUUCACCGCCCAACAUUCUGUGCCAUACAGCAUCGCCGGCCUUAUUGCCGUCCUAUAAAAUUUUCCCUUGAGCUUCAGUGGCAUACGGCGGUCACACAACACGCCAGAUGCACUCUUCCACUUCAUCCAUCCAGCUUGUAUUCUAUGGUUGAGAUCUCCAUCUAAUUCUCCGUUCUUUUGCAAGAUAGAUCCUAGGUAACGAAAACGAUCGCUCUUUGGUAUUUCUUGAUCUCCGAUCCUCACCCCUA